GACGAACGCUGGCGGCGUGCUUAACACAUGCAAGUCGAACGGAAAGGCCCUGCUUUUGUGGGGUGCUCGAGUGGCGAACGGGUGAGUAACACGUGAGUAACCUGCCCUUGACUUUGGGAUAACUUCAGGAAACUGGUGCUAAUACCGGAUAGGAGCUCCUGCUGCAUGGUGGGGGUUGGAAAGUUUCGGCGGUUGGGGAUGGACUCGCGGCUUAUCAGCUUGUUGGUGGGGUAGUCGCUUACCAAGGAUUUGACGGGUAGCCGGCCUGAGAGGGUGACCGGCCUACUUGGAACUGAGAUCAGGCCCAGACUCCUUCGGGAGGCAGCAGUGGGGAAUAUUGCCCGAUAGGCGGAAGCCUAAUGCAGCAACGCCGCGUGCGGGAUGACGGCCUUCGGGUUGUAAACCGCUUUCGCCUGUGACGAAGCGUGAGUGACGGUAAUGGGUAAAGAAGCACCGGCUAACUACGUG
rnacentral:rRNA from 1 species